rnacentral:rRNA from 1 species
GACGAACGCUGGCGGCGUGCCUAAUACAUGCAAGUAGAACGCACAGUUUAUACCGUAGCUUGCUACACCAUAGACUGUGAGUUGCGAACGGGUGAGUAACGCGUAGGUAACCUGCCUGGUAGCGGGGGAUAACUAUUGGAAACGAUAGCUAAUACCGCAUAAUAUUAAUUAUUGCAUGAUAAUUAAUUGAAAGGUGCAAUUGCACCACUACCAGAUAGACCUGCGUUGUAUUAGCUGGUAGGUGAGGUAACGGCUCACCUAGGCGACGAUACAUAGCCGACCUGAGAGGGUGAUCGGCCACACUGGGACUGAGACACGGCCCAGACUCCUACGGGAGGCAGCAGUAGGGAAUCUUCGGCAAUGGACGAAAGUCUGACCGAGCAACGCCGCGUGAGUGAAGAAGGUUUUCGGAUCGUAAAGCUCUGUUGUAAGAGAAGAACGGGUGUGAGAGUGGAAAGUUCACACUGUGACGGUAUCUUACCAGAAAGGGACGGCUAACUACGUG